rnacentral:misc_RNA from 1 species
UUUCCGUAGGUGAACCUGCGGAAGGAUCAUUAACACGUAUCCAACGUAUCAACCCCUUUAUAUGAACUUCAACCCGCCCAUUGAUUGCGUUUGAGACGAAAGCAAUUUCGUCGAAGCAGCGUGCAGCUAGGAAUGGCUGUAUUGCUGGGCUCUGUUUCUUCACAGAAAUACUCCGCGUUUUACUGGUGCCUUUUUUUCUUUCAACCCAUUCUCUGGUUUGACGAAAGUAACACUUCUUGUUGGGUUCUUCGGAACUUGCAGGAUUUUAUUUAUUGAACGCUGAACAACUUUUAGCAACGGAUGUCUUGGUUCUC